UCCCAAGGGUUGGGCUGUUCGCCCAUUAAAGCGGUACGCGAGCUGGGUUCAGAACGUCGUGAGACAGUUCGGUCCCUAUCCGUCGUGGGCGCAGGAAAUUUGAGAGGAUCUGUCCUUAGUACGAGAGGACCGGGAUGGACAUACCUCUGGUGUACCAGUUGUUCUGCCAAGAGCACCGCUGGGUAGCUACGUAUGGAUUAGAUAAUCGCUGAAAGCAUCUAAGUGAGAAACUAACCUCGAGAUGAGAUUUCCCAUUCGUCAGAAGUAAGACCCCUGAGAGACGAUCAGGUAGAUAGGCUAGAAGUGGAAGUGUAGUGAUGCAUGGAGCGGACUAGUACUAAUAGGUCGAGGACUUAACCAAG
rnacentral:rRNA from 1 species